UACGUAGGGUGCAAGCGUUGUCCGGAAUUAUUGGGCGUAAAGAGCUUGUAGGCGGUUUGUCGCGUCUGCUGUGAAAUUUCGGGGGUUCAACCCCGAACUUGCAGUGGGUACGGGCAGACUAGAGUGUGGUAGGGGGAGACUGGAAUUCCUGGUGUAGCGGUGAAAUGCGCAGAUAUCAGGAGGAACACCUAUUGCGAAGGCAGCUCGCUGGGACGUAACUGACGCUGAGACGCGAAAGCGUGGGGAGCAAACAGG
rnacentral:rRNA from 1 species